UAGUGAAACUGCACAUAUCUCCUACCCAUCUCCUGAUUUUUCUUUUUUUGAGAGUUGAAUAAAAAGUUUCCUCACAGUCAGACAAAUCUCUCUCUUCAAAAGAGUGGCACUGCAGCUUUUUUUCAUGGGAAUUUGAAAUUUCUGAAUUUGUUGUCCACUCCAGCAGAGACUGGUGAAAGAGGAUGUGAUGAUGAAAUUGUAUUUCUGUUUGGGAAGUCAGCAUGGUGCACCCAUCCCUUAUUUCACCAUCUCCAAGAAGCAGAAUGCAGAGUGCAUGAGCACACUUUAAGUCUGCAGCACCUACCACCUGACCUCAGAGACCAAUGCAUCCAAAAUCCUCCAUGCUUUGCACAAAACUAGUAAAGUUAAAACCUAUUCUGUAGGUUCUUUGUGUGUAGCUUUCCUGGCACUGAUGAAGGUGCUGAUAUCCAGGGGUCCCAGCCAUCAUCACUUCUAGUGUUGGUAGUCCUGUAGGUGCUAUGGACUAUUGGGUAAAAAUUACACUUUAUCCUCAGUUCACACUGAAAUCUUCCCUGUCUUCUAUUUUUGCCCUUUUUUAUAUAGUUAUAUAACUGAAGACCAAAAAUAGGAGCCUGUAUUUCUACAGACAACAUAGUUCUACAGGGUUCAAGGAUAAAUUGUCUAUAUUUUGCCUCAGAAUGCAGUGCUAGGUAAGUUCACAUCCUGUACUUCAAUUAAUUAGAGAUACUCAUUAAAUAGAGCUAUUCUGAUUUGUGCCAAAUUAGGAGAUGUUUUGAUAUGGAGAAAAAGUUCCUAAAAAUUACACACAGCAUCCUUGAAGACUGAUGAAGUAAUGUAUGCCUCACCAUUGGCAGGGACAGUUUUUUGAUUUAACAUCUCUGCACAUAUAAAGUGCCUGUCCAAGGAUGCCCUAACAGUGCAAAACAAUACUUGUCCUUGGAAAUUACCAACUUAGCAUGAACAUUGUUGCAGACAUAUCUGUCUAUAAAAAUUUUUAAAAACCCAGCAAAAUAAACAAAAAAUCCAUAUUAAUCCAAAAUAAUUCACUUAAAUGAAUCUCUUAAAGGAAAAAUAAUCAGUAAUCAGUAGUUCACUUCCAGAAGGAAGGUGUGUAUCAAAAGAUUUGUGGGUGUCAAUUUCUUUUCCCAAGGAAAAAAAGUCAUGGCAAAUGGACUAGAGGAUACUUCCAAUACAUUUGUAGGUAAUAGCAAUGUAGAAAUCACUGAGAAAGAAACAAAAAAGCUCAGGUACAUCUUGCUACUAAAAAUGGUGCUGUUUUCCCCUGCUUUCUCUCAGACACGUUCUGGAGUUGACACUGCACGUGGUAUAUGGGGAAGUGACAAUACACCUGGCUCAGAAGAGUGUGUCAUUUCAGCCACAGACUUUGUAAAGGCACCUUGCAAUUGCACCCCAAUAAACACUGAAAACCAGAAACAGAGUUCAAAAUCUUGACAAGUGGAAAAUUCACUGGAAAUAGGAUUAAAUAGGAUAGGAGUAAAGUACUGUACUUAAGAAAUACAGAUGUCCAUUGUAGGUGACUUACAAGAUUGCAAUUCACCCUUUGAAGUUGGGUUUGGGGUUUUUUUUUUUGGUUUUGUUUUGUUUUUUGGGGUUUUUUAUGCCCAUGAGGACUUCUUAUUGCACCAUCUUGAUCCCGUACUUCUGUGCUACAUGUGUGGGUUUUGGGUUGUCUUUCCAGUUUGGUUAUGAUCAAGUAGCAGGGCAAAACAGAGAGAAGGCUGUCCCACAAGUCACUGAGCCGAUAAUAAACCUGCUGCCAAUGCUUACUGCACAUAACACCUGUAGCAAUCCCUGUGUUCCAAGUAAUUGUUUCACCUACAGCCACCAGCUUCUGCCUUUUAAAACAAGGCAGGAGACAAAACAAGCAAAAAAUCUGCUCUCCCAAGCAAAAAUCACAACCUACAUGACGUGGUUAGGUGGCUUCACAUCUCUCCUGCUGUAUAUCCAGAAUUAAAGCUGACACUGAUCUCUCCUGAGUUUUCAAGAAGACCUUACUCAGGUGGAAACCUUGUGGAAGGGUUCAGUUCACCAGAGUUCUCAGCUGCCUCCUCUAGAUAUCAUUCUAUCUUUAUAUGAAUUUGCUUUCAUAGACAGGCACUCAAAAGCUGUACCUGCACCCUUCUACUCUUCAACAGGAUACAAGGAAUAUUUAAUUUCCAUACUGCACUGCCCUUGUUAUCUUCCCACUAUGAAUGGAGCAAUAUUAUGUGUAACUAACAGAUGAGAUUUCUCUUCUUAGGCUUUUACCAGAGGAAUAAUCAUUUAUUUUCCUAACUUUUAUAUGAAAGAAAAAGUUUGUUGGGUUUUUUUUUUUUUUGAGAAUUGCCUUCUGAUGAGAUUUAAACCAAUAGAAUUACAUAAAAAUAUAAACAAUAUUCAAAAUAAGAGACUUGGGCUCCUCAACCAUGUUUACACAGGCAUCUGAGUGAGGAAACCCUUGUUCUGAGCCACACACAUAUCAUUCUCCAUGGAAUGUGGUUUGUAAAAAGCUGUAUUUUUCCCUCUUCCAACUCACUCAGAGGCUUUUCUAUGGUUUUUUCUGCUUUCCUCUCCUAUAGUCCUGUACCAGCCCAUUUUCCUCCUUCUAUUCUUAUUGCUGCUGUGUCCUGAUUCUUUGACCUCUUUGCAGGAUGUACCAGAGCUCAGAUUCCUGCCUUUCAGCAGGAAGACCAGCCUGCAGACCAGAGGAACACACUGCAGGGUCAUCCUUGAGGGGCACAGCGAGCUCCUCCGAGCAGAUCCUGAGACCCUUGGCUGCUGGCAGCAAAGGGAGCCACAGGGUGGGGAACUCCACGGCUCAGCAUUUAGCCAGGGUCAGCUGUACUCACAUGCCCCUGGUUUUACUCUACAGCCAUACUGAGAAAAAAACCCCAAAACAACAAACAAAACCUAACCAAAAAAAUAAGAGAUCAUAAAAUGUAUAAUACUUAAGUUUGCUGCCAAAACAUUGUUCUCAACAGUUUAUGCUGAAAAGAGAGGAGUCUUUUCAUCCCCAGAAAUCCCAGAACAGGAUAGCAACAGAUACUGCUCAAAGCAAAAAACUUCCAGAUACUGAGAACACUUAGAUGCUUUGUUUCCCCUCCUGAAGAUGAGUGUAAGAGCUGCCAUUUAAUCCAAGCUUGCUCAGGGAUCUGGAUGGAAGCAUUGCAUGGAAGACAACCCCAGAGAGAUUUGUCCAGGAGAGCUGCCUUACUAUCAAGGACCACCUCAUUCAAGCUCAAGAAAGGCCUUUCCUGACAAGCAUGAAACCAAGCAAAGAUGGCAUGGAUGGACUUAGGAAAGCCAAGGUCCUUCUGAAGUGAAAUUUGGUGAAGGACAUGGAAGGUCAGUAACAAAGGGAUUUUAUAGAUAUAGCAGCAACAGGAAAGCUACAGAAAACAUCUGCCAGCUGCUAAAUGGGCUGUGAGAUCUGUGACAAAGAAUACAGAAAAGAUCAAGGAAUUCGGCGUCCACUCUGCCUCAGUCUUUUAAUGGUAGGAUUUGCCUUCAGGAAUCCCAGGCCUCUGAAAACAGGAAGUCUGGAACAAGAAAGACUUAACUCUGGGCAGAUCAGGGAUCAGGGUGGGAACACUUAAGCAAGCCAGACCUACACAAUCAGUGGGAUCUGAUGGGAUGCACCAUAAAUGUGGAGUGAGCUGGCUGAUGUCUUGUUUGUCUUGACUUCAAGGCUUCUGGCACUCUGACUUCCUCAUAGGCAAAGUGGUGAACUCUGGAUGAGAUAAGCUGGCAGUGAGGUAUACUGAAAACUGGCUGCACCUGAGGCUCAAAGAUGUCAUCAGCAGCACAAAAUGCAUCUUGACAGUCACUAGUGGUGUUCCCCUGUGGUUGGUCCUGGGAUCAAUACUAUUUAACACCUUCAUAAAUGAGCCAGAGGGUGGGGCAGAAUGACCCUCAGGAAUUUUGCAGCUGAUACAAGACUGGGAGGAGCUGUUGAUACACCAGAUGGUUGUGCUGCCAUUCAGAGGGACUUUGACAGACUGAGAAAUGGACAUCUGUACUGCUUUGGUUCAGAUGUGACAUGAAAACGUGAUGCUCCAUUUCCCAAAUGGGAACCUACUGAACUGGCACUGCAUUGUCACAGGAAUAUAUUGAUUACACCAAAACUGCUCAAGAAAUAAAUUGGGGGAGGGGGAGGACAGAUCACUUCAAAUGAAGAAUUUAUGUCCGGCAUUGUUUAAUUCAGAAUAAAUGUAAGAAUGCAAGCAACUUCAUUCAUUUAUGUCUUACUUCCAGUUCAGAUUUAGCUGAAAUAUAACAGAGAAAGCAACAUAGAGAGGUCUUCUUGUUGGUUUGUAAAUUUUAGUAGACAUGGAAAAUGUAAGACAAUUUAUCUGAGUGAUGUGGUCUACCACAUAGGUACCAGUAAAUGCAGUUUCAGAAGCUAUCUUUCAUGACAGCCACUCAGUAGCAGCAGAAAGCUUAGAAGUCAUAAAUUAUGUUUCAAACACAUUCUAUUGUCCAAAGUGACAAAUCUUAGUCUUUUAAAUUCAUACAACCGUAAAACAGUAUUUUCUUCCACCACAAAAGUAGCAAAAUGUUUAGGGCUCUUCUGAAUCAAACUAAUCACACUCAUUUAUGAGCAUUCUGAAGCACUUUCAUUAUGUGGCUUAAAUAUUUAUCAUACCACAAACAUGUAUGCUUAUACUACAAUGAGACAAAAUAAGAAGCAUUGACAAAAUGGAGAUCAAUAACUUUGACCAUCAGUCUAUAUAGAUCUUGUUCCAAAAGCUAUUCAUUUGAAUUUAUCUUACAAUUAAAUGAAUAAUCCUCUGGUAACCUUAUUGAUUAUAAACACAACCUGAGAUGGCCCACAUAGGUCAGGAUGACUAAUGUGAAAAUCUAAAAGUCAAAGAAGGGAUUCAUGCCCUCAACAGUAUCAACAAUUCCCCUUGGGCAUGAUGACAAACAAGUGCUAAUAUAUGUCAGAAAAACACAAGAUUUUUAAAGUGAUGUGAGAUUAUACUGUUGUAGCAUACAAGUGAAACAAGUGCUUUUAGUACACUUAAAGGUGAACCUACUAUAUGAUCCAAAACUUUAAAUGAGGUAUUUCUUAACCUGUUUGUUUUGUCACUAAAUAUAGGGAGUCCCAAAGCUUACUGUACCAAAUUUUUUAUUAUUUCAAACAAACUUCUGUACAAAAACAUCAAAGCAGGCCAAGAAAUCCUGUGGCUUCGCAAACAGCACAUGACAACUCACAGAAUGCUUUAAGGUUUACAUUUUUAUUAUACAAGUGACAAAUAGUUUUUCUCUGGGCUACUUAAAGAUAAGACUUCAUUGUUUGACAAAAAAUUGCAGGUAAGCAUAUAUUAACUUCAGUUACCAAAGCUCAACAGAAUGGCCUGUCAUCCACCUAAUUUACCUAAUUGGAAGUGACUAUGAACAAAGCAGGAUUUUGCCUAAACAUACAUUUUUAAAUGUCCCCCCCCCCAAUUAAAAAUAGAGCCUGUAAACAGUGGAUUUACUACUGUGAAAAUAGUGUAGUCAUUGCUUUCAGAAAAAGAAAAAGAUGUAACGUGAGUGAGUUCUAACUCUCUCCCCAAGAACAACAUAGCAACUGGCUGCUGCACCUGCAGAGGUGUGACAUGAAUGCUGGAGUUGUGGUGCUGUCCAGCAUCAGGACAUGCAUGACAUUGGCACCUGUGGGUUCUGAUCAUGUCUGAGAAACCUCAUGGGGGUUGCUGUGCUCAGAAAUAAGCUCUCAAGUUAAUCCCUACUCCAGAGAAUUUGUGACAUUAAUACUGUUUAAGGACUGAGUUCAAUGACACAGUUUGUAAAAGUGCAGCCGAGUUCCAGCAGACCAAAUGCAUCUUCAAA